GAUGAACGCUAGCGAUAGGCUUAACACAUGCAAGUCGAGGGGCAGCACAAGGUAGCUUGCUCUCUGGGUGGCGACCGGCGCACGGGUGCGUAACGCGUAUGCAACUUGCCCUAUACAGGAGGAUAACCCGUCGAAAGACGGACUAAUACUGCGUAUGCUCACAACUUGGCAUCAAGUGGUGAGGAAAGAAAUUCGGUAUAGGAUAGGCAUGCGUCCCAUUAGCUUGUUGGUGAGGUAACGGCUCACCAAGGCAACGAUGGGUAGGGGAACUGAGAGGUUUAUCCCCCACACUGGUACUGAGACACGGACCAGACUCCUACGGGAGGCAGCAGUGAGGAAUAUUGGUCAAUGGGCGCGAGCCUGAACCAGCCAAGUCGCGUGAAGGAUGACUGUCUUAUGGAUUGUAAACUUCUUUUAUACGGGAAUAACAAGAGUCACGUGUGACUCCCUGCAUGUACCGUAUGAAUAAGCAUCGGCUAACUCCGUG
rnacentral:rRNA from 1 species